CAGAGUUGCAAAACUCCCACAAACCAUCACGAAUCUUACCCGUACGGUUGCCUCGGCGCUGGCGGUCCGGAAGGCCCUCGGGCCCCCCGGAUCCUCGGGUCUCCCGCUCGCGGGAGGCUGCCCGCCGGAGUGCCGAAACCAAACUCUUGAUAUUUUAUGUCUCUCUGAGUAAACUUUUAAAUAAGUCA
rnacentral:misc_RNA from 1 species